rnacentral:rRNA from 1 species
UGGGCACUACGUAAGGAGACUGGCCGGUGAACAACCGGAGGAAGGUGGGAUGACGUCAAGUCAUCAUGGCCCUUACGGCCUGGGCUACACACGUGCUACAAUGGUCGGUACAAAGGGUUGCCAAGCCGCGAGGUGGAGCUAAUCCCAUAAAACCGAUCGUAGUCCGGAUCGCAGUCUGCAACUCGACUGCGUGAAGUCGGAAUCGCUAGUAAUCGUGAAUCAGAAUGUCACGGUGAAUACGUUCCCGGGCCUU